CCCAAUUCAGCCUCAGCUUUCCCCACACAAACCCUAAAUUGUCACUAAAUUGGUAAACACUAGACAGAUGUUUUCAACAAACACUGUCUCUUUUUUUGCACACAUUUUAUACACCAUUAUCACGAACUAGCUGUACAAACAGAAAACUGGAAACUCAGUCAAAACCAACACGGCUUGGUCGACACCCACCCGCCCAGUUCUUGUUGGAGUGGAAACUGCACCACAGUGUGGCCAUGGAGGGGUCCGGACUCAGGGAGAGGGGCAACCUGAUUCCACACUGAUGAAAAAACUUGGCCGUCGGGGAAAACACAACCCCCACCCCUUUGCCAAAGCCACAAGCGAGUCACAGACAUGGAGCAGCAGCAGCAGCAGCAGAUGAUGAUGUUGUGGACGGCCUUCCUGUCUAAGUAAACAGUGAUUCAGACGAGUGAGGAGUGGGAGGCUGUGGUCUGCUUCAGACUGGCAGCACCAGGCCUCACC
rnacentral:lncRNA from 1 species